UAGCAGGAGUUGAGGAGGUGGAAGUAAAAAAGUUGACAUAAUGGGUAGCAUUAGAGAUAACCAGCAGGGGCCAGAGGAGUUUUGAGCCAGGGUAAUGUGGAUGAACAGUGCUUAAACUAAGUCUGGGGAGGAACCUCUGUGGCUGAAUCAGGUUGAGCUAGAGCUAGGACUUUCUUUCCCCUUUUCCUCUUCUUAGAGGGUAUGUGUACUCAUCAGAAUUAGAUGCUUCCCUUGGGAUUUGGGAGGUAUUCACUUUGUUUUCUUUGAAAAUUUGUUUUAUAGCUUUGGCCAACAAAUGUAGUAAAGCUGUCAGUCAACCAAAACACAAAUCUGUGUGUUAUUGAUUCAAUGGAGCAUUGAGGGAGAAGAAAGAAAGCCAGAAUGGAAAAGAGUUUUGAAACUUCUAUAUUAGCCAGAGUGAAAUUUCUAAGGGAGGGUUCAUAAUCAAAGUAGAAAGAAAGAGAAUUAUUUAUUUAUCUUAAUAACUUCUCAGUGCAGGCAGAAUAUAUUCAUCAAGGUUCCUCUGAUAUUAAAAUGAAUUAAUAACACUGGAUGAGCAGUGGCUGCAUGAGCUAAGUGAACCCUUUGCCACAUUGUGAGGGAUAGAGGAGGAGUGAGAGAGAGAACAAUUAAUUAAGUCUUGAUUUGUAGAAUUUGCUGAUUUUUAAGAUGUGAAUGCUCAUAGUGAAAAUUUAACAAUUGCCUUCCCAAGCUUCUACAAGCUGGUUCUAAUACAUCCUUGGCUCCAUCAACCAGUAAAUGAGAUGCAUGCUGUACCACUGAAGGAUUGAAAAAGAAAGAGAUGUUCCAGCACAGUCCACUGAACAGAAUGAAGACAUUUGCCCUGUGGAUAUAAAAUGCAUAAAAAAAACCCACCUACAGCAUUCAACAACAACAAAAAAGUACUGAGGAGUCCACUGACUUCCUGUCAUUAUGUGCUGACGAAGACAGAAGAAUAA
rnacentral:lncRNA from 1 species